UCGACGCCAGAGCCAAAGAAAGAAAAAGGAAACCCUUCUAAUCACAAAAAUUCAGCUAAUUGAAGCCCUAAUCGUGACUGUUACUCAUGCAUGUCAAUGAUUUCUUGAUCAUCUAGGCCUAUUAAAGCUUAAGAUGGAAGAAUGGAAGGUUAACGGAUCAAAAGGGGGCAAGAUAACAGAUGCGAAUACGGACGCUAAGGUUAUACGAAUCACAGAUUAUCAUCACGAGCAGUAGCGAUCAAAGACCGAGUCACAAGAUAGAUUGUACGGAAAUGCUUGAGUAUGUAAUUUGGUAAACAUAAGUUAUGUUUUUAUUUUAUUAAAUGAGUAUAAAGGAUGCAUAUAUUGUAAAAGAGUUA